rnacentral:rRNA from 1 species
GACGAACGCUGGCGGCGUGCUUAACACAUGCAAGUCGAACGGAAAGGCCCUGCUUUUGUGGGGUGCUCGAGUGGCGAACGGGUGAGUAACACGUGAGUAACCUGCCCUUGACUUUGGGAUAACUUCAGGAAACUGGGGCUAAUACCGGAUAGGAGCUCCUGCUGCAUGGUGGGGGUUGGAAAGUUUCGGCGGUUGGGGAUGGACUCGCGGCUUAUCAGCUUGUUGGUGGGGUAGUGGCUUACCAAGGCUUUGACGGGUAGCCGGCCUGAGAGGGUGACCGGCCACAUUGGGACUAAGAUACGGCCCAGACUCCUACGGGAGGCAGCAGUGGGGAAUAUUGCACAAUGGGCGGAAGCCUGAUGCAGCAACGCCGCGUGCGGGAUGACGGCCUUCGGGUUGUGAACCGCUUUCGCCUGUGACGAAGCGUGAGUGACGGUAAUGGGUAAAGAAGCACCGGCUAACUACGUG